GUCUGGAGAAGUCCUUACCUUUAAGGAGUAGAAAAGUGCAGGACCCUGGAGGCCAAACAAGCAAUCCUGUCUGGCUCCUGGAUGCAGGCUCAUGUUCUCGCGGACAGCUGCUCCAGGGAGCCUCUCCGUUGGGACCCUGAACAGCAUUUAGGAAUGAGGAGACCACUACUGAGGAUGCAUCAGUUGAAUCAAAUCCUGAAGGCCUUCCUCUCCAAACAGAAGUAAUGCACAGUUUUGUAGCUGGGAAUGUAAGAAGGCAUUGGAAUUGCAGGGCCACCUGGAGACACUGGUCUGUACCCUAGGAGCAUGGAAAGCAGCUGACACGUCUCAAACACCAGGAUAACUCUGGGAGGAAUGAGUGGAGGGCCUGGAAGCCAUCCCUUUGAAACGCAAACACUAAACAUCUUACCUCUGUCUGCUGGCCCUUCAGUAAGGGCCAGGCAGAAAGAGCCGAUGGCUCCUUCACUCUGACCGCCCUGCUCCCGAGCGUCCACCUUACUUCCCCUUCAGCUCACCCUGAUGAUAGUCUCUCUACCUUUUGUUUCAGCAGAGUUGAUUCCCAGCUCUCACUAUUGAAGUUUUCAAUAAAUCUG